GCCAGUGUGGUGUAGUGGUUUGAGCACUGGACUAUGACUCUGGAGAUCAGGGUUCAAUUCCCUGCUCAGCCA